GAUGAACGCUGGCGGCGUGCCUAAUACAUGCAAGUCGAGCGAAUGGAUUAAGAGCUUGCUCUUAUGAGUUAGCGGCGGACGGGUGAGUAACACGUGGGUAACCUGCCCAUAAGACUGGGAUAACUCCGGGAAACCGGGGCUAAUACCGGAUAACAUUUUGAACCGCAUGGUUCGAAAUUGAAAGGCAGCUUCGGCUGGCACUUAUGAAUGGACCCGUGUCGCAUUAGCUAGUUGGUGAGGUAACGGCUCACCAAGGCAACGAUGCGUAGCCGACCUGAGAGGGUGAUCGGCCACACUGGGACUGAGACACGGCCCAGACUCCUACGGGAGGCAGCAGUAGGGAUUCUUCCGCAAUGGACGAAAGUCUGACGGAGCAACGCCGCGUGAGUGAUGAAGGCUUUCGGGUCGUAAAACUCUGUUGUUAGGGAAGAACAAGUGCUAGUUGAAUAAGCUGGCACCUUGACGGUACCUAACCAGAAAGCCACGGCUAACUACGUGCCAGCAGCCGCGUAA
rnacentral:rRNA from 1 species